ACGUCACUGUGGGUGUGGGCGCGGUGGUUACAAAUAAUUCCAGGCACCUGUAGUCUGUUGGUUUUGUUAACGAGGAAGGCCCCUUGCUGUGCUCUGAUGUGGACGCAUAUUUCGUGUCUUCGUGUUGCAGAGGUUUCGGGUGCAGUUUUCGUUAUUACAUGGUGUGAGCCUCAGUACGUGAUUGAGCGACAUGCUGAGCUCUGACAGGAAGUGAUGAGGUUUGAGACAUGGUUUCAUCGCUGAUUUGAGUUCUUGGACAGAAUGCAGCCUGCAGAUUCAUCUUCCUCCUGAACCCAGCUGCACAUGAGACUCCUCAUCACCUCCACAGUGCCUCCACAGAGCCAUCUGCUGUCCUCCUGGUGCAACAGCGUGCACAGAGGUGUCUGCAGCAGCCUGUGGAUGUUUUCAGCUGAACUCUUUUAUAUUUUAGCUUCACAGUUAAAUUCAAAUGUCUCAUUACUCUAAAUAAAGGCCAUAUUGACCUGAUGA